AAGUGUCUGAAAGUGUCGAAACGUCGAGGAAUCUGAUACAACGAGCUACGAGGAACAUUCACUUACGAUGUUCGCAGAGGUCUAUCACUUCGCAUCGCAGAAGACGGAAUUGAAAAUAAUGACGCGGAGAGGAAGUGGCUCGUCUUCGAUCUACCCGAGGGUAAACGUAAUUCUUCCGGUGUGCGAUCGCUGGCGAUCCUAUCGGUGAUUCCUCGACGAGCGACUUUUAUUAGACAGCGAAAUAAAUUACAGCCGGCGGGUGAAGAGCUUAAUGAUUGCAACGAGCUGCAAUUCCGUCAUAUUACUCGAUACGACGCGAGCGGCCAGUGGGAACGGGAAUUCGCCGUGCGUGUCGCGGGGGCGACGAAAUCGCCAUUAUUUAACAAUUCGUGACCGUUUGCUUCAAUCUCGGCCCCACUGGCCUCGAAGGCUACCUCGUAGUUGCCUGUUAUGGCUCUGGGAGCAAUCGACCACGAUAACGACCAAAUUUUGGGACUCGCUUGUAAUCAGAGGUGGAACGUUUCUAAAGGGGCUCUUCCCAAGCCCCCGAGCCAGAAUGGACGCGUUCGCAGAGUACGUUCACACCAAUUGACCAGACCUUACCAUCGACUGGUGGCCAGGUCUCGCUGGAGGAUAGAUAGGACAUCCUCCUCGACUUUGGAGGCGGGUAUCUUCGAUUCGACGCGACCCAUCGCGACUACGGAGGUCUCUGCGGUCUCGCUUCUCCUGGGAACUGCGGAAAACUGUAUUUAACGCGGGAAGAGCCUGUGAUCGAUACCCCCGGGAGAGACCGAAAACGGGUCAUAAAGGAGCCCUGACCGCGAACACGUGGACUUAAGCUCUCCAAGACCCUCCGAACCGGUCUGUCCGACUCUAAUUUCCACUCCGACGAUCCGAGAAACUUCCGACCGUUGAGCUCCUGGCGAACGGUUGAUAACGUUGGAACGAGAGAUUUCUAUAAAAUUGUAGAAAUGGAGAUGAAACAACUGUUACUGAAAGGAUCAAUUCAGAAGACACGCGCGAUGCGUCCCAGAUUCUACAAUCACCCUGUACAUAGGAUGAACCAAUCAAGCUGCGUCACACGAGUAACAAGUGCACUCGUGGAGACCAGGAGCAUUUGAUACCAUGAGACACCAUGCGCAGGAAGCUUCACGUUUACAAGUGGAAGCGAGGAAAGCGAGAUCAAUGUUGGACUGCGACCUGGUCCGUUGAACGCAUGAUUACUUAAUCGAUAAGGAAGCUUAAAAGGAUCCUUAUCGUGUUCGUUUCAAUUUCAAAAUAAAUUUGUAAACAACGAAAGUGUAACUCCACGUACAUUCCUCGAUGACAAAUAAAA